ensembl:lncRNA
GGGUUAUUCAGAUCCACAAGACGUGGUGCAGUAUAAGUUGGCCAAGACUUUGACAUUGUGUGAUUAAUUUAGGUUAAUUUAGUUUCAGGAGUUCACUCUUCACUCUUCAAAGAUGCAAUGAGCUGUGUGUUAGAACUAUGAUCUUUAGAUUCUUAAAACAAUGAGGUGAUGACAUCACAAGAUUUUGGAAUUCUUGGUUUCCAUGGCUACAGAACAUCAGCCUGGGCUAGGCAGUAAUUUCUGGUGAAGGCAAAGUUCUGUAAAUAUUUAUUUAGGGGUACAAUAUGGCAAAAACUGUAGAGCAGCUGCAUAAACGCAUGUUUAUAGAGGGCUGCUUCAAGGCUGGGUUUUUCUUCCUUCCAUCCCAUUGGUGGUUAUUCAUGGACAUGAUGUUGGAACUCUCCUCUGUGAGGAGAUGGCAAGCCGUCCCAGACCCUAGAAUUCAUCUUCUACAAGGAUCGUCCUUCACUCCUUUGAAGAUUCACGGUUCGGUAGGAUCACCCAGACCACAUAACAGCGCUGGCAGUAGAAAAAGAACUAAGGGUGCACCCAGUAGAUCUUCUUUUCUGUUUUUUUGUUUGUUUGUUUGUUUUUUCGUGUUCUUCUCCAAAGAAGAAGCGAGCUUGACUUGACUUACUCUUCUGACUCUUGACUUGAGACUUUGGAUCACUGACACCAUACCCGUGUGGGGACUGAGAGACACUUAGCGCAGAUUAUAUGUGUGAGAUUGUUUAGGUUAUAAAUUGUUUUGCCGGCUAUAGCUGUGCCUGUGUUGCAGUGUUAUUGUCUGUGUGACAAUACAGUAUUGUUCUCAACUCACCUGUCUCCUGCAAAUCAUUCUCCCUCUAACACUACCUCACGAAUCUAGAACUGAUCCACCGGAGGGUACAUAGAAGCUCUGCUUACACACAGAAAGAAAAAAUAAAAACAUAAAACAGUUGUGUUUCAUAUUUUUACGCACUUGAGCUUCAACGAGCUGAUUUCAUUUCAUGUGCGGGAGGAGAAAAAUGAUUAUGAGCCAAUUUUUUUUUUUUAUCAUAAAAUACAUUCAGCAGUCCUUGGAGGAAAAGGUAGAUCUUGAAGGUGCAUUUCUU